rnacentral:SRP_RNA from 1 species
GCCCGGUGCCGCGGCCUGUGCCUAUAGUCCCAGCUACUCGGGAGGCUGAGGUGGGUGGAUCGCUUGAGCCCAGGAGUUCUGGGCUGCAGUGCGCUAUGCCGAUCAGGUGUCCGCACUAAGUUUGGCAUCAAUAUGGUGACCUCCCGGGAGCGGGGGACCACCAGGUUGCCUAAGGAGGGGUGAACAGGCCCAGGUCAGAAGCGGAGCAGGUCAAAACUCCCGUGCUGAUCAGUAGUGAGAUCGCGCCUGUGAAUAGCCACUGCACUCCAGCCUGGGCAGCAUAGCGAGACCCCGUCUCU